GACGAACGCUGGCGGCGUGCCUAACACAUGCAAGUCGAGCGAAUGAAGUUCCUUCGGGAACGGAUUUAGCAGCGGACGGGUGAGUAACACGUGGGCAACCUGCCUCAUAGAGGGGAAUAGCCUUCCGAAAGGGAGAUUAAUACCGCAUAAGAUUGUAGUACCGCAUGGUACAGCGAUUAAAGGAGUAAUCCGCUAUGAGAUGGGCCCGCGGCGCAUUAGCUAGUUGGUGAGGUAACGGCUCACCAAGGCGACGAUGCGUAGCCGACCUGAGAGGGUGAUCGGCCACAUUGGGACUGAGACACGGCCCAGACGCCUACGGGAGGCAGCAGUGGGGAAUAUUGCACAAUGGAGGAAACCCUGGUGCAGCAACGCCGCGUGAGUGAUGACGGCCUUCGGGUUGUAAAGCUCUGUCUUCAGGGACGAUAAUGACGGUACCUGAGGAGGAAGCCACGGCUAACUACGUGCCAGCAGCCGCGGUAA
rnacentral:rRNA from 1 species